rnacentral:tRNA from 1 species
ACCCCGGUGUCCCAAUCGGCAGAGGAGGGCGCCUUAAAAGCGCCUAGUUGCGGGUUCGAGUCCCGCCCGGGGUA